rnacentral:rRNA from 1 species
UACAGAGGUCUCAAGCGUUGUUCGGAUUCAUUGGGCGUAAAGGGUGCGUAGGUGGCGCCAUAAGUCAGGUGUGAAAUCUCGGGGCUCAACCCCGAAACUGCAUUUGAUACUGUGGUGCUCGAGUACUGGAGAGGAGAUUGGAAUUUACGGUGUAGCAGUGAAAUGCGUAGAUAUCGUAAGGAAGACCAGUGGCGAAGGCGAAUCUCUGGACAGUUACUGACACUGAGGCACGAAAGGCCAGGGGAGCAAACGGG